rnacentral:lncRNA from 1 species
AUAGGGGGGACUCACACCGAGAUGUCGGUGCCUCUGUUAGAUUUGUACCCUAGAAGCUAAUUAUUGGCUGACACAUUUUAUAAGUUCAGACCUUAAUCUUAUACUUAUAAUAUUUUUAUUAUCAAUGAAGGGCUUUUUCAUUCCAAUCAUGUUUAUGUGUCUAUGGUUUGUUCUAAAAAUUAACAAAGAUGAUUUUUAUAUAUUCUCAAAGUAUUGAGAAUU